rnacentral:lncRNA from 1 species
GGAAAGGCCAGGCUGUGGAGGACCAGGGCACAGACGGCACGUCUGCAGCACCUGCCAGCCCACGCACUGGCCUGCCUGGACAUCACAAGUGACCAGGGUUACUCGGCACUAUCAUAUCUCUCAAAGAAGAAACAACUCCUCCAACGGCAACAUCUGUGGGGCUGCUUUUGAACUAUCAGCAAUUCAUUUGAGCAAGAGCUGGGAGCAUUUUUCCCCUGGGCCUGAUCAUGAGGAAGUGUUUGCCCCUCUGGAGGACACAGCAACAAGGACCAUCUUGGAAGCAGAGACCUGGCCCUCACCAGACACCAUACCUGCCGGCACCUUGAUCUUGAACUUCUCAGCCUCCAGAAGUCAGUGAAAGUGCAACGACUAAAAGGGAAUGGAGUGACACAGACAAGUGUCUACAAGAGACCCUGGGGCUGCUACUCCAAAUGCUGUCACUUUGCAAGGUUACUGGGUAGAACUUCAAUCUUACUACUCACCUGCUCAACAACCUGCAAUGGCUCCCUAUUGUUGCCUUUCCCAACAAGGCCUCAUUUCAUGGAUGAUUUUCCAUCGUCUGGCCCUAUCCUAAAAGAGAGUGGAGCCUCUUGCUCAGAGUCAGGCUUUGGUCUCAACUGCCUUGUUUCACAUUCUCACUAUGCCAGUCCCCAGCUGGGUGAUGAUGAGUAAGUUACUUAGCCUCUCUGGGCACUGGCUUCCUUACUUAUUAAAUGUAGAUAAUAUUAGGUUGGUGCAAAGUAAC